GAUGAACGCUGGCGGCGUGCCUAAUACAUGCAAGUCGAGCGAACGGACGAGAAGCUUGCUUCUCUGAUGUUAGCGGCGGACGGGUGAGUAACACGUGGAUAACCUACCUAUAAGACUGGGAUAACUUCGGGAAACCGGAGCUAAUACCGGAUAAUAUUUUGAACCGCAUGGUUCAAAAGUGAAAGACGGUCUUGCUGUCACUUAUAGAUGGAUCCGCGCUGCAUUAGCUAGUUGGUAAGGUAACGGCUUACCAAGGCAACGAUGCAUAGCCGACCUGAGAGGGGGGAUGGCACCCCGGGAGCUGAGACGGGGCCCGGCCUCUCAAGGGAGGAAGGAAGGGGGAAUUGUGCGAAAUGGGCGAAAGCCUGCAGGAGCAACGCCGGGUGAGUGAAGAAGGUCUGCGGUAUGGAAAACUUUGUUAUUAGGGGAGAACAUAUGGGAAAGUAACUGUGAACAUUUGGAGGGAACCAAUAAAAAAAGCCAGGGUAAACACGGG
rnacentral:rRNA from 1 species